rnacentral:rRNA from 1 species
AUGCAAGUCGAGGGGUAACAGGAAAAAGCUUGCUUUUUUGCUGACGACCGGCGAACGGGUGCGUAACACGUAUGUAACCUACCUAUAACUGGGGAAUAGCCUACUGAAAAGUGGAUUAAUACGCCAUAAUAUGUAUUUAAGGCAUCUUUUAUACAUUAAAGCUUUGGCGGUUAUAGAUGGACAUGCGCAACAUUAGCUUGUUGGUGAGGUAACGGCUCACCAAGGCAACGAUGUUUAGGGGGUCUUAGAGGAUGAUCCCCCACACUGGUACUGAGACACGGACCAGACUCCUACGGGAGGCAGCAGUGAGGAAUAUUGCGCAAUGGAGGAAACUCUGACGCAGCCAUGCCGCGUGCAGGAAGAAGGUCUUAUGGAUUGUAAACUGCUUUUGUAUGCCAAGAAACCUUAGUACGUGUACUAAGCUGACGGUAGCAUACGAAUAAGGAUCGGCUAACUCCGUGCCAGCAGCCGCGGUAAUACGGAGGAUCCAAGCGUUAUCCGGAUUUAUUGGGUUUAAAGGGUCCGCAGGCGGAAAAUUAAGUCAGUGGUGAAAUCCUACAGCUUAACUGUAGAACUGCCAUUGAUACUGGUUUUCUUGAGUACAAAUGAGGUGAGUGGAAUGUGGCGUGUAGCGGUGAAAUGCAUAGAUAUGCCACAGAACACCAAUUGCGAAGGCAGCUCACUAACAUGUAACUGACGCUGAGGGUCGAAAGCGUGGGGAGCGAACGGGAUUAGAUACCCCGGUAGUCCACGCCGUAAACGAUGAUCACUCGAUGUUGGCGAUAUACUGUCAGUGUCUGAGCGAAAGCAUUAAGUGAUCCACCUGGGGAGUACGAUCGCAAGGUUGAAACUCAAAGGAAUUGACGGGGGCCCGCACAAGCGGUGGAGCAUGUGGUUUAAUUCGAUGAUACGCGAGGAACCUUACCUAGGCUUAAAUGUAGAUUGACGUAUUGGGAAACCAGUA